GUACUGUCCGGUACCGGCUCUCUCUCUCUCUCUCUCUCUCUAGCUCUCUCUCUCUCUCAGCUCUCGCCACUGUCCCCCGCCCACCACAGCCCUCGCGUCCGUUCAAGGUACACGUACAAGCUUGCACUACAAAAAUCACUAUAAACAUGGACAAGUCUUGGAUGUCAACACCUAGGGGUACGACACGGUAUAACGAUGGGUGUAGGGCGUUUGUGGCAUUUGCCGUUAGUAAUUGUACGGCCGGCGAUGGAAAAAUUUACUGCCCAUGCAAGUAUUGUCGAAAUAACCAGCGUCACACUCCUGAGUACGUUCUUGCCCACCUGACUGGAGGUCGGGGGAUGAAUCCGGGAUACAAUUUGUGGUAUAUGCACGGUGAGACUACGACUGGUUCCGCUAUUCCUGGUCAGUGUUCGAGUCAUCACAGUGGCACAGAGGCCGCUGACCGUAGCACUGAACAUGGUGAUCAUGUCACAGAACAUGAGGGUGUCG